rnacentral:lncRNA from 1 species
CGUAGUGGUGGCGCGGAGGCGAGGAAGCGGCGGAGGAGAGGUCGGAGUCGGAGGAGUAGGGCGAGGAGGAGGCGGAGGAGGAAGAGAGAUCAGGUGCAGCGGAGGAGGAAGAGGCGGAGGAGUGGUGGGUGAGGUGGAACAGCCGCUCUCGGAGGCAAAAAGGGCAGACGCCGAUGGCCUGCCGGUGCUUCGGGUGACGCUUGCACCGGCCGCCGCCGCCGCUCGUCGCAGGCUUCCCCAUCACCCC